UUGACAAAGGCGAGGCUGCAUGUUUUGUUCAUGAGCUUGGCCUUCCAAGAUGGCAGUUGUCCAGCAAUGCGAUCGACGACAGGCUGCAGUUGUGCAGCUGAUGGUCUUUUGAUUGUGAGAGGAAUGCCCGGGUACUUGAUUGGUGGGUCCACAAUUGGGCAUUGAAGCUGUGCAACAACAGGUACAGCCACCUCAUUAUCGCAGCGUAGCAAAGUAGCCGAGCUUUUUUCCUUAGUUGACCUGGAGGCCUGAAGUGUUGCUGCACACCUGGAGUAUUCCUUUGAUUGUGGCGAUGUCGCUAGGUGAUGGGUGGAAAAAAUAGCAUCACAUUAUCGGCGUGUAGGGAGAUGGCCGGGAUCGCCCUCGAGUGGUGUAGCUGCUGCAAAACCCCAAGUUGGGUAGUGAACUUGUUAAUGUUGUCUACUUUGUCAAUUAGUAUCUAUAAAAGCCCUACCUAAAUCCACAUCUUGUGUGUUGUGACUUUCAGGUAAAGAAUAAAAGUUCAAGAAGAAAAGGCCAGUGAGGUUGCUAGUGCACUACUAAGGCUUGAGAAUAUUGGUUCAGAUAUGAAGAACAUCAAAGAAGUGGUUUGGCUUCUGGUUUCAUCCAUGAGUGUGUACGUCUUGCAUAGCAAAAAUGUCCAGCAGUUGUAGUGGUUGUUGGUGGCGAGCUGGAGAAGACAUGUCCUCCUCCUUGGAGCGGAGGAGGGAGGAUAUGAUGAUGUUGUUCCUAGCUGCUCAAUGUGGUGAUGAAGCCAUGCAUCUGACGCCCUGAUUGGUGCCGUUCAUAUGCUCGAGAAUUGGAGUACUUCACUUCACGUCUUGUGUCUAGGAAUGAAAACCAACUUGUGUAGAAGAUUUUCUUCU